rnacentral:tRNA from 1 species
GGAUUGUGGCUCAGCGGUAGAGUGCUCACCUAGCAUUUGUGAGGCCCUGGGUUUGAUCCUCAGCACCA